GGAUGAAUAGCUCCAAUGGUAGAGCAUUCCGCUGAAGCCGGAACAGUACAGGUUCGACUCCUGUUUCAUCCA
rnacentral:tRNA from 1 species